rnacentral:rRNA from 1 species
UACAGAGGGUGCGAGCGUUGUUCGGAAUUAUUGGGCGUAAAGGGCGCGUAGGCGGUGCCACAAGUCACUUGUGAAAUCCCCGGGCUUAACUCGGGGCCUGCAGGCGAAACUGUGGUGCUGGAGUAUGGGAGAGGUGCGUGGAAUUCCCGGUGUAGCGGUGAAAUGCGUAGAUAUCGUCCAGAACACCGAUAGCGAAGGCAGCUUACUAAGGAGUAACUGACGCUGAGGCACGAAAGUGUGGGGAUCAAACAGG